rnacentral:rRNA from 1 species
CGCUAAUACCGCAUAUUCUGUGAGCAGGAAAGCAGGGGAUCGCAAGACCUUGCGCUCUGGGAGCGGCCGAUGUCGGAUUAGCUAGUUGGUGGGGUAAAGGCCUACCAAGGCGACGAUCCGUAGCGGGUCUGAGAGGAUGAUCCGCCACACUGGGACUGAGACACGGCCCAGACUCCUACGGGAGGCAGCAGUGGGGAAUUUUGGACAAUGGGCGGAAGCCUGAUCCAGCCAUGCCGCGUGAGUGAAGGAGGCCUUCGGGUUGUAAAGCUCUUUCGGCCGGGAAGAAAUCGCAUGGGUGAAUACCCUGUGUGGAUGACGGUACCGGAAUAAGAAGCACCGGCUAACUACGUG